AUUAAUAUAUAUAUAUAAUAUACUUGAAUUUGAUUAAUUUGUAUUUAAUGUUAUUCCGUUAAUGCUGCUUAUUGUCAUUGGGGCUAAGAACUGGGGAGCUGUCUGUAGUAUGCAUAUGGGAGUUGAUAAUUGCAUUUCUUAUUAUUACAGGUUUAUUAGCUGGUUUCCCUUUGUGAAAACAAGAAAUUAAACAAACAAAUGUGGAAUACCGAGUAGUAUCCUUUUGUGCACUGGGUUGCCCUUUCCGUGGGGAGAACACGGAACAGUCAUGACAGACUUUCAAAGAACAAGGUUGACGUGAAAAAGAGAUGUUCUUCUGAAUACAACCACGAGGAGGAGGAGAAGGCGGCGGAGGAGGAGGAGGAGGAGGAGGAUGAGGCGCGUCAUGACAGACCUUCAAAGAACAAGCGGACCAGCGAAGAGGAGGAUCAUAUUGGGGAUGAAGAGGACAUAGUACCACCCUCUAAGAAAAAGCUGCUGAAUUUAGAAAACACAUGGACGAACAGAUGUGGGAGAGAAGGAAACUCGACCAAAUGCAAAGAAAUUUGCAGGAGUUGAGAAAUGAAGUCCAUUCUCUUAAAAAUGAAAAUGCAUGUCUGAAAGACAUUAUCAUCAAUCAAAUCCCUCAAAUGAAAAGUGACCUCGCCAUUAUUGCUCAAAAG